UGCUUAGAUGGCCUAGUGGUUAGAGCGUUCACCUCAGAUGCAGGAGGCGCGGGUUCGAACACCGGCCUAGUCAU